rfam:Necator americanus N_americanus-1.0_Cont318.41, whole genome shotgun sequence.
UCAACGGCCCUAUUUAGGGCCACCAAUCUGCGAAUACAAACCGAAA